CCUACGGGUGGCAGCAGUGGGGAAUAUUGCUCAAUGGGGGAAACCCUGAUGCAGCGACGCCGCGUGAAGGAAGAAGUACUUCGGUAUGUAAACUUCUAUCAGCAGGGAAGAAAAUGACGGUACCUGACUAAGUAGCCCCGGCUAACUACGGGCCAGCAGCCGCGGUAAUACGUAGGGGGCAAGCGUUAUCCGGAUUUACUGGGUGUAAAGGGAGCGUAGGCGGGGAUGCAAGUCAGAAGUGAAAGCCCGGGGCUCAACUCCGGGACUGCUUUUGAAACUGUAUGGCUAGAUUGCAGGAGAGGCAAGUGGAAUUCCUAGUGUAGCGGUGAAAUGCGUAGAUAUUAGGAGGAACACCAGUGGCGAAGGCGGUCUGCUGGACAGCAACUGACGCUGAGGCGCGAAAGCGUGGGGAGCAAACAGGAUUAGAUACCCGUGUAGUC
rnacentral:rRNA from 1 species